CUGUAGCACAACGGUAGUGCGGCUGCCUUGUAAGCAGUUGAUGAGGGUUCGAAUCCCU
rnacentral:tRNA from 1 species